CCCCCUGGUCACCCACAGGUGCACGUGUUUACAGCCUCACAGACCUGUGAUCAUUUCUCGCUGUCCCGGUGAUCCCCUUAAUAAGUGCGUUAUGGGUGAUGAAUUUGUUUGUCAUUGGGCCUACACGUGUCCUCUGCUUCCUCUUUAUGAGAGUGAAAAAAGAAGAAAAAACGAGAAAGAAGAAGAAAAACGCAGGACGGGCAACAGUAGCUGACCGAAAACGAAAACAAAACGAACACAUGAAAAACCUUCUUCGAAAGGAUUAACAGGUAACCUUAAAACUAAAUAUUUAAGUUUUAAGGUUACGAUAAACGCAACGAACAACAACAACACAAAUGAUUGGAAUUAAACAAAACAUCGAGGUUUUUCAGGCGCAGAAGCUGGCAAUUGAAGACAAACUUAAAACACGCCUCAUGGCCAAAGGAGGUGAGAUAACUGUUAAAAAAGAAGUCGACAAAAAGAUGGCUCUCUCGAUGGCUCACACCAUGGCCAGGGUCAGAAGAAGACAGCUAACAGCAGACAUCGCUUCAGAAAAACUGGAAGCAAUGCAAAAAGCAAAGGCUGUUAAAAAAGCCUCAAGAGAGGCAGAUUUAGAAAAGGCUUAUGCUGAAAAAACUGCCAGAGAAUUUAAAGCCAGAUGCCUCGAAGAAGAAAAACUGAGAGCAGAAAUGCUAAAAGCUUUAGAUGAAGGCAGAAAAAAUGCCAUAAGGCUAAAAGAGAAAAAAAGACAAAAUGAACAAGUGAGAGAACAAAAGUGGGAUGAGUUUAACAGGAAGUGUUAUAUAGAAUAUGUCCUUAGUGAAAAGAAAAAAUCAGAGGAGAAAAGGGAGCAAAACAUCAAGGUCAGCAAAUUUAAUUUUGCAAUUGGAGAGGAGAAGCGUGCGCGUGCUUACCUUGAAAUUCAAAAACAGAAAGAGCGCUAUGAACAUGACAAACGUGUUCAAAAAGAAGUUGAUAAAAAGAUGGCUCUCUCGAUGGCUCACACCAUGGCCAGAGUAAGAAGAAGACAGCUAACAGCAGACAUCGCUUCGGAAAAACUGGAAGCAAUGCAAAAAGCAGAGGCUGUUAAAAAAGCUUUAAGAGAGGCAGAAUUAGAAAAGGCUUAUGCGGAAAAAGAGGCCAGAGAAUUUAAAGCCAGAUGCCUCGAAGAAGAACAAAUGAGAGCAGAAAUACUAAAAGCUAUUGAUGAAGGCAGAAAAAAUGCCAUAAGGCUAAAAGAAAAAAGAAGACAGGAGGAACAAGUGAAAGAACAAAAGUGGGAUGAGUUUAACAGGAAGUGUUAUACAGAAUACAUCCUUAGUGAAAAAGAAAAAUCAAAGGAGAAAAGGGAGCAAAACAUCAAGGUCAGCAAAUUUAAUUUUGCAAUUGGAGAGGAGAAGCGUGCGCGUGCUUACCUUGAGAAAAUACCUCAAAAAGGAAACCCGUCACCAGACAGCGGAAGUUAUAUUUCAACCUGUUGUUGUUAAUAAGCAAACUGCAUAGGGCAGCAGAUUUCCGAAAGAAAAUUUAACUGACUAUCAGUUUGCAUCAGGAAUAAAAAAUAACCGUAAUAACAGCA
ensembl:lncRNA